AUAACAUAAAAAAUUAUUUAAUAUAAACUUUAUUUAAUAUUAAGUUAUAUCAUUCACAGAUUCUGACAUUUCAAAAUGUGUGAACCAAAAUGAAGAAUUUUGUUGUAUAUUUAAGUCAAACUUUAUUUACAAUAUUUUGCUUUAUGUAGCUGAAGUAGAUGGAAUCUGUUCUCAAGUAGAUAGUAGGGAAGGAACUUGAGUUAAUAGAAUUAAAAGCCAUUUAUCAUAAGGCACUUUCUAAUGGGCUACCAAAUAGCAGCUUUAAAAUGUUGAAUUGGCGAGCUCAGUGUUAUCCUGUAGGUCUCCAUUCGUUGCUUUUUAUAAGGUCAACAAAAAGGGGUAGAAGCCUUUGUAUUGGAUUUUUAGAAAAAAUAAAAGAAAUUGUUUGCGAGGAGCAAGAUAAGUGUUUAUAUAAAUUUACAUAUGAUCCAAAACGAGAUACAAUUGCUGUUUUUGAACAGAAUCCUAAUAAAUCAGAAUAUACAUUUUUACAUUCAUGCUACGUUGAGAACAUAAAUUCGUCCGUAUUCCAAAGA
rnacentral:misc_RNA from 1 species